GACAGAGGGUGCGAACGUUGUUCGGAAUUACUGGGCGUAAAGCGCGUGUAGGCGGCCCGGCAAGUCGGAUGUGAAAUCCCUCGGCUCAACUGGGGAAGUGCAUCCGAAACUACCGGGCUAGAGUGUCGGAGAGGGAAGUGGAAUUCCCGGUGUAGAGGUGAAAUUCGUAGAUAUCGGGAGGAACACCAGUGGCGAAGGCGGCUUCCUGGACGAACACUGACGCUGAGACGCGACAGCGUGGGGAGCAAACAGG
rnacentral:rRNA from 1 species